AUGGAAUUGAAACUCUGCAAUUGUACGCUGCCCUUUGCACCAGUCGAAUACAAAAACCGGUAUUGUAAUUACACACAGAUAAGCUGUAUUGAACAACGGUACAACAGAUAUCUAGUGGAAGACCAUCUUUGGAAUAUGAAUCCAUGCCUUUCCACAUGUACAGAAAUGCAUGUUGGCUUUGUCGGAUAUAAUUCUGAGAAAAAAGCCAUCGGCUAUAAAUCUGUUAACGAAAGUGAUCAAACAUGGGGCAUUACAUCAGUGACCAUUGGAAUAAACAGCCAGCCGA